rnacentral:rRNA from 1 species
GACGGGGAGCACCACAACGGGUGGAGCUUGCGGUUAAUUGGAUUCAACGCCGGAAAUCUUACCGGGACCGACAGCAAUAUGAAGGCCAGGCUGAAGACUUUGCCGGAUUAGCUGAGAGGUGGUGCAUGGCCGUCGUCAGUUCGUACUGUGAAGCAUCCUGUUAAGUCAGGCAACGAGCGAGACCCACGCCCACAGUUGCCAGCGUACUCUCUGGAGUGACGGGUACACUGUGGGACCGCCGCUGCUAAAGCGGAGGAAGGAAUGGGCAACGGUAGGUCAGUAUGCCCCGAAUAUCCCGGGCUACACGCGAGCUACAAUGGUUGGUACAAUGGGUAUCUACCCCGAAAGGGGACGGGAAUCUCCUAAAACCAAUCUUAGUUCGGAUUGUGGGCUGCAACUCGCCCACAUGAAGCUGGAAUCCGUAGUAAUCGCGUUUCAACAGAACGCGGUGAAUACGUCCCUGCUCCUU